UAGGGAAUCUUCCGCAAUGGACGCAAGUCUGACGGAGCAACGCCGCGUGAGUGAAGAAGGAUUUCGGUUCGUAAAACUCUGUUGUUAGAGAAGAACAGCGCAUAGAGUAACUGUUAUGCGUGUGACGGUAUCUAACCAGAAAGCCACGGCUAACAACGUGCCAGCAGCCGCGGUAAUACGUAGGUCCCGAGCGUUGUCCGGAUUUAUUGGGCGUAAAGCGAGCGCAGGCGGUUAGAUAAGUCUGAAGUUAAAGGCAGUGGCUCAACCAUUGUAGGCUUUGGAAACUGUUUAACUUGAGUGCGGUAGGGGAGACUGGAAUUCCUGGUGUAGCGGUGGAAUGCGCAGAUAUCAGGAGGAACACCGGUGGCGAAGGCGGGUCUCUGGGCCGUUACUGACGCUGAGGAGCGAAAGCGUGGGGAGCGAACAGG
rnacentral:rRNA from 1 species